rnacentral:lncRNA from 1 species
CCCAAAGAAAGUAACUAUAUUCUCACUGCAAAUGCUCAUAUUAAGUCCUAGAAGGACAAAGUCUUUGAUACGCUUAAAGCGUAUAGACAAAUCGGUUUAAAAAAGAACUUCUUAAUAAAGAAGAUGAGCAAAUGAUCAAAGUGAUCAUAAUAAGGAGGCAGUGAUCUAGAAGAUCACAUGACAUAACACUUCAUAAAAUCUCAUGAGAUAUUUAGGUACCUCAAUAUAUGAAUGAAGAGAUCGCUAUGUUAUGUCUUUAUGGAAAGCUUUUGGAACCGAUAUAAAAUAUUUGUCGUCGACAUCUAUCAUAGCGCUAAGUUUAGAUGAG